GAUGAACGCUGGCGGCGUGCCUAAUACAUGCAAGUCGAGCGAACGGACGAGAAGCCUGCUUCUCUGAUGUUAGCGGCGGACGGGUGAGUAACACGUGGAUAACCUCCCUAUAAGACUGGGAUAACUUCGGGAAACCGGAGCUAAUACCGGAUAAUAUUUUGAACCGCAUGGUUCAAAAGUGAAAGACGGUCUUGCUGUCACUUAUAGAUGGAUCCGCGCUGCAUUAGCUAGUUGGUAAGGUAACGGCUUACCAAGGCAACGAUGCAUAGCCGACCUGUGAGGGUGAUCGGCCGCACUGGAACUGGAACGCGGUCCAGACUACUGCGGGACGCAGCAGUAGGGAAUCGUCCGCAAUAGGCGAAAACCUGACGGAGCAACGCCACGUGUGUGAUGAAGGUCUUCGGAUCGUAAUACUCUGUUAUUAGGGAAGAACAUAUGUGUAAGUAACUGUGCACAGCUUGACGGUACCUAAUCAGAAAGCCACGGCUAACUACGUG
rnacentral:rRNA from 1 species